rnacentral:lncRNA from 1 species
GCUCCAAGCUCUGUUCUGCUCAGAAUGGUGGGGCUGGUCUAUGCGGGGCUGCCACCCUGCAGCCUGCAGCUCAGGAUUCACUGCAGGCCAGAGGAUGAAGGGAAGAACAAAAAGAACAUUCAAGUUCACAUUGAAGUUCAGCAUGUACAUCUUUCCUGUCAUACCAGUGGAGAUUUAGAGAUGUGGAGUGCACACAUCAGAUUGUGAGUAUUACAUAAUUCAACACGACCAGAUUUUGUCAUGUAAAAAUCUCUACUCUAUAGAAAGUUCAUACUGUAGAUUGGAUACAAUGGGAGUGUGGGCAGCAUGGCAGAAGACAUCUUCAUUUCACUUUUGAUAGCAUCAAUUCUCAAAGGGACUUCAUUUAUUCAGAAUAGCAUAGCAGGACCUUUUCUCUAAUUGGUAUUAUUUUUAAAUUCCAGGGGAAAAAAAAAAAAUCAUUAAAGAACAAAGUGCCAUAAGGAGAGCCAGAUUCCUGGGGAACAAUGGCAGUGUGGAGACAAAGCAUUUAUAAGCAAAACUGAAAUGGAGUUCAUUUGCAGCCUGACGGAAAGUGAUGUAGUGAAUGAACUGACAAUAUCCACCUGCUCCAGAUGUGGAGAGGCAGAGGACGACUGAUGCUGGGACACCCAGUUGCCUUCUGAGGUACCUGGCACAAGCGGGAUGGCUCAUACCCAGACUGCAUUCUGUAGAUAGAAGGAUAAAUGGAGAAACAGAUUCAUGUGAGUCUGUAGUGUCUGAAUACAGUGUCUGUAGUGUCAAAGCAGUUCCCAGUUAGCCUUGUUGCCAUAUUGCAGAGUUGCUUUUUCAGAGUUUUUGCCCCUUGGUUGCUAAUAAGCUGUAUUUGAAAUGGUGCUCUUACUAUUCACCUCCUCAACCACCUCUAGUGCCUCAGGAUGCUCGUCUUAAUAUUGCUGAAGCCUCCCGAGGUGAACAUUUUUGCUUUUCCCUUCUCUUAAGGCUGAGAUUUUCAUUGGAGUUUUAGGAAAGGAUUUAACCCACAUUUAUCUAAUGCCGAUAUCAUUUGGACUAAUAACUGUUUUAUGCAAAAUGAAAAAUCUUGGCAUAAACAAACUGGGAAGAGUUUCUCUUUAGGAUAUGAGUGGUCUGGUUACAGGUUUUUCUUCUUUCUCUGUCUUUUUUUUCUUUUUUAAUGCAUUUUCAUUGGUACCCAUGUAGUGUGAAGAGUCCUUGCUGAAGUUUUGGGUUUUAGUGUGUCACUGUGCAAUACUGUAUUGAAUGUGAGAAGUGCUGUCCCUGGUUCAGAGAGCUUUGCACUUAGUUAACUCUUAACGGAACAAAGCCAAAUGCUUUUGGUAAAUAUACUGUCUCUAAGUGAUCUUGAAAUCAGUCACAACCAUACAAUAAUUAUAACCAAAUCUGCUGAAUAGAUAAACAGUUAUUUCCUCCUCUCAUUCCUCCCUGCCUAAUAUUCCUCAAGUAAAGGCUGAUGUGGAAGGGCCUGUAUUAACCAAGCUGUGUUCCAUUCAUUCACUCAUGCUGAUGGAGAGACAUACUCUAUCCCUGCCUCUGUCUCACUGGCUUGAAACUAUAUUUCAACCUGAGAUUUUGUGAAGUAAAUCUCUUUUAUACCCUCCUACUGGAGCUGCUCCACUUUCCUUAUAACAUAUUUAAAUCCUUCUCCUGCUGGAUUUAUAAGGAGAUUGGCUACAUGCAUUGCAUGUGUAGUACAGAGCAGAGCAACGCGAAGACUGACCUCAAAUUGCAUAAGAAAGUUCUGUGGCAGAGGACGUAGACCUAAAAUGGGAAAGCCCAAGUAUUCCAGUCUCCAGAGAUGGCAAAUGCUGCCCCUCUGUGCUUUGUGUGUCUUAGCACUGUGCUACUGAAUAAAGCAAUGUCUG